GAUCGUACUCUUCUUUUUCCGCAGCGGUUUCAACUAGGGUACUCUCGCCCCCACAAAAGACGGCGAUUUCAAAAAGAUGAGUUGAUGUCUACCGGGCAGAUGGCGGUGCGGGGAAAGUUGGCGUACGGGCUGUACCGGGUGGCGACCCUCGCGGGGGCCCCGCUGAUAUACCUGCACCUCCAUUGGCGGCGGCUGCGUGGCCUGGAGCAUCCCAGCCGGUGGCCGGAGCGCUUCGGCCGCCCUUCCUUGCCCCGCCCUCCCGGCCCUCUCCUUUGGUUUCACGCUGUCUCCUUGGGUGAAGGAUUGGCUGCGAUCCCCGUGAUCAAGCAUUGCGUUGGGCAGCACCCCGGUUUCGUUGUCUUAAUGACGACCACAACAACUUCGGCCUUUGAGGUCAUCAAGGACCGGCUACCAAAUGGUGUCAUCUAUCAGCUAGCUCCUGUUGAUUUUCCUUUGGUGGUGGAUGCUUUUCUUGGGUACUGGAAACCAGUAGCAGUCCUAUUAAUGGAAAGUGAACUCUGGCCCAACCUCAUUAUUUCUGCAUCAGAGAAAGGAAUCACUGUAGCAUUAUUAAAUGCUCGGAUGUCAUCCAGAUCUUUAAAGCGUUGGUCAGGACCAAUAGCUCUGCCAUUGAUCUCAUUCAUGUUGUCAAAACUAUCUUUGAUUGUCCCACUGAGCACAGUUGAGGCCAUCCGUUUCCAAUUGCUACAUGCAUCUCCUUCUAUCAUCAAUUUUGCAGGUGAUUUGAAAUAUGCUGUAGGAGAUUUUGAUAUCCUUGAGAAAGAGGGUAUGAAGAUUAAAGAUCUUCAGCUACAGCUUGCGGAAAGGCCAACUUGGAUGGCAGCAUCUUUACAUAAGGGUGAAGAAGAAGUCAUGCUCUGGGUUCACCUGGAAUUAAUCAAGAUUUACCCUGACCUGGUACUGAUACUUGUGACAAGGCAUCCGCAACAUGGACAACAGAUUGCCGUAGCAUUAAAGAGUCAGGGGCUGAAUGUUGCAUUGAGGUCUAGAAAUGAAAUAAUUUCACCUAGCUCAAACAUCUAUGUGGUGGACACAUUAGGUGAACUAAGAAUGCUCUACAGGGUUACCCCAAUAGCUGUGAUCGGAGGUUCCUUUUUACCUGGUUUAGCUGGACACAAUCUUUCUGAGGCUGCUGCAGCUGGUUGUGCUGUAUUGACAGGUCCUUACAUUGGACAUUUCUCCAAUAUGUUAGCGGAAAUGCUACAAUCAGAUUGUUUGUCAGUUCUGCAGGUAAGGUGAGGUGUUGCAACUUUAGACUCUGCAUGCCGUUCAUCCGUUGUUGAAUACAGAACAUGGCAUGUGGGAGGAAAUAUUGAAUUAUUUGAAGCACUUGAGCAGCUGCUUGGUGAUGUCAAAGCUUUAGGAGCGCGACAAGAAGCUGCAAGACGAGCAUUUUCAGCUGUUUCAAAUGGGGUUGUGAACCGAGUCUGGAAUCUUAUUAGUCACUAUGUUCUCAAAAAGACCCACUGAAAACCAGAUGAAGGAUGAUCUUGGCCCAGAUCUGAAGUGACCCCUGACAUGAGGACUCUGAUUCAUCUUAUUUGAAGGCUAUUCUCCCUGAUCUAUCUACAAAUCCGUAGCCUCAAAAAAUCUGAUGUACGCAUGUAGCAAAAUACUUUAUAUAUAUUUAUCGCUUCAUUGGGGCUGACAGCCAGACAAUUGGUG